UGGUGACAUGUGGAGCUGACGAAUACUAAUAGAUCGAGGACUUAACCAUA
rnacentral:rRNA from 12 species